ACUCUGGUAUUGAUUGGUGCUUGCAUCAUGAUUUACAUUUGAGUGAGUGGCGAACUGGUGAGUAACACGUGGGAAACCUGCCCAGAAGCGGGGGAUAACACCUGGAAACAGAUGCUAAUACCGCAUAACAACUUGGACCGCAUGGUCCGAGCUUGAAAGAUGGCUUCGGCUAUCACUUUUGGAUGGUCCCGCGGCGUAUUAGCUAGAUGGUGGGGUAAUGGCUCACCAUGGCAAUGAUACGUAGCCGACCUGAGAGGGUAAUCGGCCACAUUGGGACUGAGACACGGCCCAAACUCCUACGGGAGGCAGCAGUAGGGAAUCUUCCACAAUGGACGAAAGUCUGAUGGAGCAACGCCGCGUGAGUGAAGAAGGGUUUCGGCUCGUAAAACUCUGUUGUUAAAGAAGAACAUAUCUGAGAGUAACUGUUCAGGUAUUGACGGUAUUUAACCAGAAAGCCACGGCUAACUACGUGCCAGCAGCCGCGGUAAUACGUAGGUGGCAAGCGUUGUCCGGAUUUAUUGGGCGUAAAGCGAGCGCAGGCGGUUUUUUAAGUCUGAUGUGAAAGCCUUCGGCUCAACCGAAGAAGUGCAUCGGAAACUGGGAAACUUGAGUGCAGAAGAGGACAGUGGAACUCCAUGUGUAGCGGUGAAAUGCGUAGAUAUAUGGAAGAACACCAGUGGCGAAGGCGGCUGUCUGGUCUGUAACUGACGCUGAGGCUCGAAAGUAUGGGUAGCAAACAGGAUUAGAUACCCUGGUAGUCCAUACCGUAAACGAUGAAUGCUAAGUGUUGGAGGGUUUCCGCCCUUCAGUGCUGCAGCUAACGCAUUAAGCAUUCCGCCUGGGGAGUACGGCCGCAAGGCUGAAACUCAAAGGAAUUGACGGGGGCCCGCACAAGCGGUGGAGCAUGUGGUUUAAUUCGAAGCUACGCGAAGAACCUUACCAGGUCUUGACAUACUAUGCAAAUCUAAGAGAUUAGACGUUCCCUUCGGGGACAUGGAUACAGGUGGUGCAUGGUUGUCGUCAGCUCGUGUCGUGAGAUGUUGGGUUAAGUCCCGCAACGAGCGCAACCCUUAUUAUCAGUUGCCAGCAUUAAGUUGGGCACUCUGGUGAGACUGCCGGUGACAAACCGGAGGAAGGUGGGGAUGACGUCAAAUCAUCAUGCCCCUUAUGACCUGGGCUACACACGUGCUACAAUGGAUGGUACAACGAGUUGCGAACUCGCGAGAGUAAGCUAAUCUCUUAAAGCCAUUCUCAGUUCGGAUUGUAGGCUGCAACUCGCCUACAUGAAGUCGGAAUCGCUAGUAAUCGCGGAUCAGCAUGCCGCGGUGAAUACGUUCCCGGGCCUUGUACACACCGCCCGUCACACCAUGAGAGUUUGUAACACCCAAAGUCGGUGG
rnacentral:rRNA from 2 species